CUCAGGACGAACGCUGGCGGCGUGCUUAACACAUGCAAGUCGAACGAUGAAGCCCUUCGGGGUGGAUUAGUGGCGAACGGGUGAGUAACACGUGGGCAAUCUGCCCUUCACUCUGGGACAAGCCCUGGAAACGGGGUCUAAUACCGGAUAAUACUUUCCUCCUCCUGGAGGAAGGUUGAAAGCUCCGGCGGUGAAGGAUGAGCCCGCGGCCUAUCAGCUAGUUGGUGGGGUAAUGGCCUACCAAGGCGACGACGGGUAGCCGGCCUGAGAGGGCGACCGGCCACACUGGGACUGAGACACGGCCCAGACUCCUACGGGAGGCAGCAGUGGGGAAUAUUGCACAAUGGGCGAAAGCCUGAUGCAGCGACGCCGCGUGAGGGAUGACGGCCUUCGGGUUGUAAACCUCUUUCAGCAGGGAAGAAGCGAAAGUGACGGUACCUGCAGAAGAAGCGCCGGCUAACUACGUGCCAGCAGCCGCGGUAAUACGUAGGGCGCAAGCGUUGUCCGGAAUUAUUGGGCGUAAAGAGCUCGUAGGCGGCUUGUCACGUCGGUUGUGAAAGCCCGGGGCUUAACCCCGGGUCUGCAGUCGAUACGGGCAGGCUAGAGUGUGGUAGGGGAGAUCGGAAUUCCUGGUGUAGCGGUGAAAUGCGCAGAUAUCAGGAGGAACACCGGUGGCGAAGGCGGAUCUCUGGGCCAUUACUGACGCUGAGGAGCGAAAGCGUGGGGAGCGAACAGGAUUAGAUACCCUGGUAGUCCACGCCGUAAACGUUGGGAACUAGGUGUUGGCGACAUUCCACGUCGUCGGUGCCGCAGCUAACGCA
rnacentral:rRNA from 1 species